AGUGCAAUUGCUGGAUCAUAUGAUAGUUGCAUGUUUACUAUUUUUAAGAAACUGCCAAAAUGUUUUCCAGAAUGACUGUAUCAUUUUACAUUUCCACCAGCAAU
rnacentral:pre_miRNA from 1 species